CCUACGGGGGGCAGCAGUGGGGAAUAUUGGACAAUGGGGGGAACCCUGAUCCAGCGACGCCGCGUGAGUGAAGAAGUAUUUAGGUAUGUAAAGCUCUAUCAGCAGGGAAGCAAGAAAUGACGGUACCUGACUAAGAAGCCCCGGCUAACUACGUGCCAGCAGCCGCGGUAAUACGUAGGGGGCAAGCGUUAUCCGGAUUUACUGGGGGUAAAGGGAGCGUAGACGGCGAUGCAAGUCUGAAGUGAAAGGCGGGGGGCCAACCUCCGGACUGCUUUGGAAACUGUAUGGCUGGAGUGCAGGAGAGGUAAGUGGAAUUCCUAGUGUAGCGGGGAAAUGCGUAGAUAUUAGGAGGAACACCAGUGGCGAAGGCGGCUUACUGGACUGUAACUGACGUUGAGGCUCGAAAGCGUGGGGAGCAAACAGGAUUAGAUACCCUGGUAGUC
rnacentral:rRNA from 1 species